rnacentral:rRNA from 1 species
UGGGGGAAUUUUGGACAAUGGGGGAAACCCUGAUCCAGCCAUCCCGCGUGUGCGGUGAAGGCCUUCGGGUUGUAAAGCACUUUUGGCAGGAAAGAAACGUCGCGGGUUAAUACCCCGCGAAACUGACGGUACCUGCAGAAUAAGCACCGGCUAACUACGUGCCAGCAGCCGCGGUAAUACGUAGGGUGCAAGCGUUAAUCGGAAUUACUGGGCGUAAAGCGUGCGCAGGCGGUUCGGAAAGAAAGAUGUGAAAUCCCAGAGCUUAACUUUGGAACUGCAUUUUUAACUACCGGGCUAGAGUGUGUCAGAGGGAGGUGGAAUUCCGCGUGUAGCAGUGAAAUGCGUAGAUAUGCGGAGGAACACCGAUGGCGAAGGCAGCCUCCUGGGAUAACACUGACGCUCAUGCACGAAAGCGUGGGGAGCAAACAGGAUUAGAUACCCUGGUAGUCCACGCCCUAAACGAUGUCAACUAGCUGUUGGGGGCCUUCGGGCCUUGGUAGCGCAGCUAACGCGUGAAGUUGACCGCCUGGGGAGUACGGUCGCAAGAUUAAAACUCAAAUGAA